ACUCCUACGGGAGGCAGCAGUGGGAAUAUUGGACAAUGGGGGCAACCCUGAUCCAGCCAUGCCGCGUGUAUGAAGAAGGCCCUCGGGUUGUAAAGUACUUUCAGUGUGAGGAAGGUUGCGUGGUUAAUACCCACGUAAUUUGUACGUUAGCCACAGAAGAAGCACCGGCUAACUCCGUGCCAGCAGCCGCGGUAAUACGGAGGGUGCAAGCGUUAAUCGGAAUUACUGGGCGUAAAGCGCAUGCAGGCGGUUAAUUAAGCCAGAUGUGAAAGCCCCGGGCUCAACC
rnacentral:rRNA from 1 species